CUCCAACUCCAGAAUGCAGGCAGAGCAGCUCGCUAUUACAGCAACAGGCAUAAAUGAAAAGAUGAACAUGGUCUUCAUGUCUGUACUGUGCAGUAUUGAUUGAGGAAUGAGGCCUUUGGGGAUCAAAGCCUGGCUGAAGGAGGCGAGCAGGAAGAGGAUGCAGCACCGGCCUUCUUUUACCUGGGACUCACAGCGCGCAAGGUGACCCUCACACUUCAGACACACAGGACAUCUCAUACUGAGGUUUUACUCUGGCUUUGCUUGAUAGCUGUGACAUCACCCAGCUCCUUUAAGAGGACAGAGGGCCCUGUGCCACCAUCAAGUUGCAGAAUUCAACAAUGGCUGGUCACAUGGUACUGAUCAUCUCUGUCUUCAAUGUACAACAGGAAAUCAUUAGCAGAUACACACAUGCAGUUCUACAACACAGAGCAAGGCGACCACUGUUGUUACUUGGCAACAGGUCAUGGGCAGAAUGAUGCAGCACACAUGGAGGUCUUGUCAAUGGAAGGUCGCCAGUUCGAUCCCCUGAGCCGACAGGAUGUGACUGAGGUACCCUUGAUCAAUGCACCUAACCUCCAACUGCUCCCCGGGAGCUGCAGAUAGGGCUGCCCACUGC